rnacentral:rRNA from 1 species
CGGGUGAGGAUACAUGGGUAACUACCCUCAGUGGGGAAUAACCAGCCGAAAGGUUGGCUAAUACCGCGUACGCUUCCGGAACUGCGGUUACGGAAGGAAAGCGAUACCGUGGGUAUCGCGCUCUUGGAUGGGCUCAUGCCCUAUCAGCUUGUUGGUGAGGUAACGGCUCACCAAGGCUUCGACGGGUAGCUGAUCUGAGAGGAUGAUCAGCCACACUGGACACUGCGACACGGGCCAGACUCCUACGGGAGGCAGCAGUAAGGAAUAUAGCGCAAUGGGCGAAAGCCUGACGCAGCGACGCCGAGUGGGGGAUGAAGGUCUUCGGAUAGUAAAC